rnacentral:rRNA from 1 species
GCCUAACGGCUGAACUGGCAACUUGGAUGAAUGGACCCGGCUACCCUUAAGAAAGAGGUGAGAGGUAGUGCAGGAGAUCCUUUUAAGGAGUAAAGUUCUAAAUAUAUGAUUGAUAAUGACAGUCUAUAUAUUAUGUCUUGACCAAUUACGUGCCAGCAGUCGCGGCAAUACGUAUGAGACUAGUGUUAUUCAUCUUAAAUAGGUUUAAAGGGUACCCAGACGGCAAAUGUCACCUUUAAAAGGUUAUUAUUUUGCUAGAGUUUUAUGUGAAGAGGCCGUACUCGUGAGUGGAGAGAUAAAAUUCUGUGAUACCUAGGGGACGGAUAAAGGCGAAGGCAGCCUCUUAUGUAGAAACUGACGUUGAAGGACGAAGGCAUUGCGUCACGAACAGGAUUAGGGACCCAAGUAGUCUUUGCAGACAAUGAUGAAUGCCAUAGAUUAGGUUAUUACUUAGUCUAUAAAUGAAAGUGUAAGC